rnacentral:lncRNA from 10 species
GUGACGUAAUAAGCCGCAACUGGAAGCGUAGAGGCGAGAGGGCGGGCGCUUUACGGCGAACUCAGGUAGAAUUCUUCCUUUUCCGUCUCUUUCUUUUUAUGUCACCAGGGGAGGACUGGGUGGCCAACCCAGAGCCCCGAGAGAUGCUAGGCUCUUUCUGUCCCGCCCUUCCUCUGACUGUGUCUUGAUUUCCUAUUCUGAGAGGCUAUUGCUCAGCGGUUUCCGUGGCAACAGUAAAGCGUGGGAAUUACAGAUAAAUUAAAACUGUGGAACCCCUUUCCUCGGCUGCCGCCAAGGUGUUCGGUCCUUCCGAGGAAGCUAAGGCCGCGUUGGGGUGAGACCCUCACUUCAUCCGGGGACUCCAACCAGCCCGAGCAACACGGAUCCUGAGGGCGCUCCUGGUUAGGCAUUUGCCCCACUGGGACGCCUCGCCAGAGCACUGUAUGGCAGGCCCCCAUGGAGGAUCAACGCAGUGGCUGAACACCGGGAAGGAACGGGCACUUGGAGUCUGGACAUCUAAAACUUGGUAAGAGUAGUCUUUGAAACUUGCCCACUCCAUUUGAGUGGAAGCAUGGCCUGAUCACCCAUGGCGUGCCUUUAUUGGCACUUUGGUUUUGGUUUGAAUUGCUUGACAGGAUUGGUCUUGGGAACUUGCCUACUCCAUUUGAGUGGAAGUGUGGCCUGAUCACCCAUGGUGUGCCUCUCCUGGCACUUUGGUUUUUAUUUUUGACUUGACUUGGAUUGCUUGAUACUUUGGUUUUGGUUUUGACCUGGCUUGGAUUUCUGGAUACUCUGAUUUUGGUUUGGUGCAAACUGCAAAACUGUGUGUGCGCCCUUUUUACCGGUUCUUUGUUUUGUGGUGUGUUUGUGGUGUGAGCGUGGUGUUUUGUCUUGAAGAAGCAUAGGUCAGGCACGAAUAAGCCCACCCCACUAGGAACUAUGUUGACAAAUUUCAAAAAAGAAUCUGAGGGAGACUAUGGAGUGCUAUGACACCAGGAAAACUUAAAACUUUGUGUAAGAUAGACUGGCCAGCAUUAGAGGUAGGUUGGCCAUUAGAAGGAAGCCUGGACAGGUCCCUUGUUUCAAAGGUAUGGCACAAGGUAACCUAUAAGCCAAGGAACCCAGACCAGUUCCCUUACAGAGACACUUGAUUAGAGCUGGUUUUAGACCCCCCACCCCCAACACAUAGUGGUUGAGAGAACAGCAGCAUAAGUGGCUGGCAGAGGCAAGGAAAGACCAGCAGAGAGAGAGAAAGGAAAGAGACAGAGAGGAAAAGAGGAAAAGAGAGAGAGGAAGAGACAGGAAGAGACAGACAGAGAGUCAAGGAUAGAGAGAGAGAGAGAGAGAGAGACACACACACACACACACACAGAGAGAGAGGAAGAGGCAGAGGCAAAAGGAAAGUCAAAGAGAGAGACAAAGUCAAAGAGAGAAAGAAAGAGAGAAAGAGAGAGAGAUACAAAGUUAAGAAAAAAAAGCCAUCUAUACCAAUUCUAAUUUAGACAAAACAAGGUCUUAUUAAUAGCAAAGGAUAAUUAAAAUCCCAAACUUAGAAGGUUUUCUUUUUAUUAUUAUUAUUAUUAUACUUUAAGUUUUAGGGUACAUGUGCACAACAUGCAUUUUUUUAAAAUUUUUUUUAAAGGUUUUCAACUAAAGUUUGCUAAAAGUUAACAGUGUAACAUGUAUAUAGUAACUUAUAUUCUUGUGGCCUAGUCCACAAGACACAAAAAAGGUUCGCUUUGGAAAAGAAUGGUUAUCAUCUUCGAAAAAAAAAAGGAAAAAAAGGGGGGGCGGAAUUUAUAUAAAAAGAGUAUUAUAUGGUAAAUUCUUGUCCUGAAACAAAUUAACUGGUUGUUUAAAGAAAUAAAUAUUUGUAAUAAGUCAGAAAGUUGAGGCAUAUCGAAGAAUUGUCUGCGAAAGUCAC